rnacentral:rRNA from 1 species
AUUGAACGCUGGCGGAAUGCUUUACACAUGCAAGUCGAACGGCAGCACGGACUUCGGUCUGGUGGCGAGUGGCGAACGGGUGAGUAAUGUAUCGGAACGUGCCCAGUCGUGGGGGAUAACGUAGUGAAAAUUACGCUAAUACCGCAUACGAUCUAUGGAUGAAAGCGGGGGAUCGCAAGACCUCGCGCGAUUGGAGCGGCCGAUAUCAGAUUAGGUAGUUGGUGGGGUAAAGGCCCACCAAGCCAACGAUCUGUAGCUGGUCUGAGAGGACGACCAGCCACACUGGAACUGCGACACGGUCCAGACUCCUACGGGAGGCGGCAGUGAGGAAUUUUGGACAAUGGGCGAAAGCCUGAUCCAGCCAUUCCGCGUGCAGGAUGAAGGCCCUCGGGUUGUAAACUGCUUUUGUACAGAACGAAAAGGUUUCUACUAAUACUAGGAGCUCAUGACGGUACUGUAAGAAUAAGCACCGGCUAACUACGUGCCAGCCGCCGCCGUAA